GCCAUGUGUCAUGAUAAAAGACUUCCACAUAAAGUAGGAGCAACCUUUGUAAUUCAAGGUGUCUUGGAAGUUCCUUUUUGCAGUCAUUGCUACAGAUGUAAACAAAAAGGUCUGAACCUUAACAAAAUCUGUUCUACCUCGUACUGAUUCAUGAUAAGAGUCUGCACAGAAUAAGAAUUCUUGGAAGGGGUCAGGCAAUGCCAACUCUUGUUCAUUGAUAACUUUCUUUCCUUGAUUGCAUAGUAUUUUGGUUCUCAUUAUCAGAUUUAACAGUCUUUGUGAUCAUGUAGCAGCUAUACAAUAAGAAAAUGGGAAGACAGAACAACAACAAUGCAAAUUUACGUGAUGUAGUCAAAGUCAAGAUCCAGUAAUAUACAUCAUGUAGUUAGAUCUUUGUAUCUGAUGAGCCAUUUGGCUUAAAGAAUAAAUAAACUAAGCUAAACUAAGUUACACUCCCAAUGGCCGUUUCAUUACUUUGAUUGAGGUACAUGCUCACAAUCAUCAAUACAUAAACAUGACAAAGUAUAAAACAAAUACUAGCCUAUACAUUGAAUUUCAGGAAAUUUUAGCAACAUUACCCUCAUCAAAUACAUAUAAAUCAGUUAACAGUGCUGCAUUGAUUUUCAAACUAUAGAUGUUACAUAAAUCAAAUGACAAGUCAAAAACAAAAUAACGAAUUUUUCUUAUUUUUUCAAUUGCCAGGGAAACACUGCUUUGUAAAUCAAUUCUUGUUUAUUUACUAGUAGACACCAGAUUAUAAGAUAAAUACAGUGAAUCAUGCUAACCAUGUCAUUAAAAUGGAAGUCAUUGAUGUUAUUAAUAAAGAUCACUUUUUUGCAAUUACAUGCAUCAAUACCAGAUUUUCACGUUUUUCACCAAGAAAACAAAAAGCAUCUGCCAUGCCAGUGAAAUGACUUAACAGAACAAUGGAAACUUAAUCACAGAAUGUGACAAAUACCCUCCUUAAUGAGGUAAAAAUUAACAUUAUUUAUCAAAUGAGAAGCAUCCACAUCUAAAGGUCUGGGUUUUGGGGUGAAUAUCCACAUUACAAAGGUUCAUUAAUUCAUGUUACAAACACCCAUUGCACAGGCAAGCUCUAGUUUGUCCCUCUGGACAGUUAGAAUGAUGAUUUUUUAUUAGAACUGUGUCAUUGAAAAAUUACUUCUGACAAAAAAAGAUGUUGCUGAGGAGAAACUAUUACAUUUAAACAUCAAAAACUGGAAAUGGAAUUCACACAAUAUAAUGAGCAUACCGCACCAAAUCGGAUCAAUCUUGAGUUAACCAUUGGAAUCUAAUCAAACAGCGGGCUGAGAGUACAGCUUGUCACACUUAAUGGUGAUUACAAUCAAGUCAUCAUUGUCAAGUCAUCAUUGCAUGUAUGUUCUGAAUUAUGAAUUAUUACACAACUCAAUGGACUCAGACACAAGAGGAUCAUUUACAGAUUUGAACCACCCCAAAGUCCCGAACCAAAUUAGACAUCUGAAAUAAUCAGAAGAUGUGUUUAAGGCAAAAGCCCUCUCCCAUAAAGCCUGAUUAAUGGCAUCGUCAAUCAGUAAAUGCAGGUUGCAGGCCAUUUUACCUUGCAGAAACGAGGAGACCUGGGAAAUGCAGCAAUGAAAUACCAACGCUGACAUCCAAUUGACUGCUUGCCAAAACAAUAUGCCAUUCUUGAUAAGUUCCCAUACACCUCUAAUCAAUACUAUUAAGUGUAUCACGAACUAUACACAGGUCUUAAAAGAAUGCAAAAGCUCAUAAAAACAGUGAAACUUUAUCCCUUUUCACCAGAUAGCAGAAUCUUUGCUGAUACAUUGAAGAAGUCAAGGGUGACUCAUUAAAAUAUGGCACAUAUCUUGUCGUUUAUCCAGGCAUAAAAUCCAUGACAUUUACAUGAAGGACUUACAGACAACCAAGGCAAUUUGGGUAGAAAUAUGACAAAUGAGGCAUCCUAGGGAAGAAAAGGAAGAAAAAGGACAACAUCAAAUAAAGAUCUGCUGAUCCAGAGAAAUGGCCACAUUGUCAGCACCCAGCACCCAGUCAUCAUCAUCAUGCCUACUUAGCACAACAACAAUGCAUAUUUACUGUGAUCUAGUCAAAGCCAAGAUCCAGUAAUAUACAUCAUGCGGUUAGUCUCCUACAGGCUACAUGGAGUGCCUGAUUCACCCUCAUCUGUAUCUCCAUCCAAAACAGCAGAUAGAUUAUCCAUCACUGUGACUGGAGUCUGACCAUCACAGAUCUUAGUCAUGCAGUUAUACAAGCUGCACAGAACCAUUUUAUUUAACUCUUGUUUUCCUUUACUUGGUUAUCUAUGUACCACAUCUCUGGAAUUAAACUAAAAACAUUUAAAAUAGUCAUCAAGGUAAAUUUCACAUAACCUUUUUCUUCAUAUUGGAAAGAAAGUACCCAUUUUGAAAUAUUCAUCAGCCAAUGAUGUUGCAAGCUUUCUUUAGAGAGUAAGAUAAGAUAUCAACAGAAGGUGUUACCAUACACAUGAGCAUAUCCAUCACAAAUGUCAAUGAUAAUUUUUUAUAUGUGCAUUACAAAAUCUACAUUUUCCCUUCCACUAAACAGCCGAAAAUAUUAACUUAUAUUUACAUUUUUCAGUGUCUUUGCCCGUGAUAACACUAUGAAUUGAUUUGUAAUGUACAGUCAAAUAAAUUCAAAUGACAUUUUGGCGCAAGCAGGGUUUGCGAAAUUAAAUGAAAUGAAAAUUACACAGAUAUGCCAAUAUUCUAAUAUCUUAUCAUAUAAUUGUGAAAAAUUAAUACAAAUAUAGGUAAUAAGAAAUUAUUCUUUGAGUAUUAUGACGUGAUAAUUUUAGGUGUGGCUUUUGGUUUGGUUUCAACAUAUAAGAAUACUAAGUGUAUUUAAAACUGUGUUUAGAGGUUUAAGCAUUUUCUCUGUUCUUUAAACCUGCACUUUCUGCUCUUAAUAAAAAAAUGAUUAUAAAAUCUAAUUUUAAAUAUAGAAAUAAAUGCAUUACUUUGGAAUUAUCUACCACAGUUUGGGCCAAUUUUAGGGGUUGUCAAUGUUUUAAAGGUCAGUAGGAAUGUAAUGCUGUAUGUAUAAUGAAUGAAGACUGUCUCAUGAUUCAUUGGAGAUUGAAAUUCCCAGGAGGAUACCCACAAAAUCCACACAAAAAAUGGAGCCACCAUAAAUUCUAAUGAUUCCACAGACCUGGUGGUGGUAUACUGAAUCCUAGCUAGAAGAGUGCAUGUUAAUAACGUUAAUAACGUUAAUUCUUUUUUACAGUGAUGGUAAGGACAGUAAAAUCAUAUGGAUGGUAUAAAAUCUCUAAAAAUCCUGAAAUCACCAGACACAUUCUGGGGAGGGCUUAACACCAGCAUCAGAUAAAAGUAACCCCUGAAACCUGAUGACUUCUAGUGACAUUUUUAUGUGUAUAUAGCUCCUGUUAUGGUAUCAGUUUGUAAUGUGUAGGCUAUAAAUGGUUUAAAGGCCAUAAGGGUUAGAAUAUACAAGGUCUAUUUAUGUUAAAUAUGCUAUUUUUAUAUUAUUCAAAAGUUUUCGAACAAAAACCAUUACCAUAUGAAAAACAGUAUCAAAAAACCUUUACACCAAAUGAAGUCGAGCAAAAACUGAACUGUCUUAUACAUUUGCACCAAAAGUGUACACACAGUACUUAGAUAAUUGGUAGAUAGGUUUUACAGUAAGGAGUUUACAUGUAUAUACUUUGAAGUGCACCACACCUAGUGACACUGACAUCACUUUCAGAUUCAGGAAAUUCUUAAACAUUCUUUGUCGAGUAGGUAUAUGUACUUAACAAACGACCUUUCUUCAGCUACUGAAUGCUGACGAUUUGUAGAUUUUUUUUUCAUAAUGACUCCAACAACACAACAGAAUGUCAGGAAUAACUAGUACAGGAGCUAGGUUAUAACCCACGGAGUCACCAGGUCUGUGCUCUGCUCACCUUGAACCUGUACUACAGGAAACUAAGCAUGAGAUGGAACUGGAUCUGAGACAUCUACUGUCAAGCACCUGUAUGUCACAAUGCUGAGACGCCACUCUGAUGGUGCAGAGAGAGCCAGCCAAGUCUUUCCUCAGCCAGGCUAUGAGCCAUUCAUACUCACGACCUUAUACUAAUUGUCUCAUUCAUCACCUGAUGUUGCCAAAAUAAUUGAAAUCUUCUUUUGAGUACAACAAAUGGAGUGUUUUGCUAUUUAGCCAUUAAGAUUGUGCGUUCCAAUCAGAGUCUUGUCACUGUAGGGUAACCAGUGGAUCUAUCAAUCAGAUGUAUUGCGUAAAUAUCUCCUCAAAACGCAAGACUUCCACAGUACAAUUUGUGCAGGCCACAAGAAAGGGUUGGCUGAUGGGGUAGGGGUGUUUCAACAAUAACUAAAUCAUACUCCAUAAUCUGUUUAUGUCUGUUUAUGUGGUAAAUCUGUAACAUUUUUAUUUGCACUAGUCAUUAAGACAAGACAAUAUAUCUGUGUUCUGCAGUUUAUAUGAUGUGCAUGCAAAAACAGCAAAAUCUCGACUGUAUCAUCUCAAAAAUGGUAAAUACACAAUUAAUGCAUGUAGCUAAAAUUAUCCAAAACAUAAUAGGUACACACACAUUAUCUACUCAAUCCCUGUAUAUUAAUUUGAUUACAGCCUCAGGAUGGUUAACUUCAAUUUCAUUAAUGAACAUUUAAAUGCAUGAACACAUGUCCCAUUAAUAUCAGGUACCAACUAGGGGGGAUAAUUCAGCUGCCUCUGGAUUCAAAAAUAAAAUUCAUAAUCUACAGCCUACCAUGGAGUAAAAAAAUGAAAUACAAAUUGCAAAGAAACCCAUCAGCUAAUUACACAUACAGUACAUAUUUCUAUUUAUUCAGCAAACGAUUAACAAAAGUAUUAAAUUGUAGCAGAAAAUAUACUUUUAUCCCAAACUUAUAAAUAUGUUUCAAUAUUACCUGGUAAUUAUACAUUUUUUUAUGUUUAAAUCCAAAUGUAAUUAUAAAAAUCUAAUUUAUUAAUUUCAAAAU